rnacentral:rRNA from 1 species
GCGAACGCUGGCGGCGUGCCUAAUACAUGCAAGUCGAGCGCAUGCACCCGGCGGACCUCUUCGGAGGGAAAUCGGGGAAUUGAGCGGCGGACGGGUGAGUAACACGUGGGCAACCUGCCCUCUAGACGGGGAUAACUCCGGGAAACCGGAGCUAAUACCCGAUAAUCAAGCAGAUCACCUGAUCUGCUUGUAAAAGCAUGGCCUUCGGGCCAUGCACUGGAGGAUGGGCCCGCGGCGUAUUAGCUAGUUGGAGAGGUAAGGGCUCCCCAAGGCGACGAUACGUAGCCGACCUGAGAGGGUGAUCGGCCACACUGGGACUGAGACACGGCCCAGACUCCUACGGGAGGCAGCAGUAGGGAAUCAUCCGCAAUGGACGAAAGUCUGACGGUGCAACGCCGCGUGAGUGAUGAAGGUUUUCGGAUCGUAAAGCUCUGUUGUGAGGGAGGAACAAGGGCGGUUCUAACAGGGCCGCCCCCUGACGGUACCUCACCAGAAAGCCCCGGCUAACUACGUGCCAGCAGCCGCGGUAAUACGUAGGGGGCAAGCGUUGUCCGGAAUUAUUGGGCGUAAAGCGCGCGCAGGCGGUUCCUUAAGUCUGAUGUGAAAGCCCACGGCUCAACCGUGGAGGGUCAUUGGAAACUGGGGAACUGGAAUGCAGAAGAGGAGAGUGGAAUUCCACGUGUAGCGGUGAAAUGCGUAGAUAUGUGGGAGGACACCAGUGGCGAAGGCGGCUUCUCUGGUCUGUUAUUUGACCGCUGANGCGCGAAAGCGGUGGGGAAGCAAACAGGAUUAGAUACCCNUGGUAGGUCCACGNCGUAAAACGAUGAGUGCUANGGUGUNAGGGGUUUCCGAUGCCCUUUAGUGGCCGGANGCUAACGCAUUAAGGCACUCCGCCUGGGGGAGGU